ensembl:lncRNA
CAACGGAGAUGCUCAACAUCCUGGUAGUUCUCGAUUUUUUUGGGACUAUUGUCUUUAUUUUGCUUUAUAAUUGACAUAAGACAAGCUACCUAAAUGUGACUUAUCGGCUAGUACUGAAGCAGGACAUGUUUUUGAGUUACGUUUUUAGCCCAAAGCCUUGUAUUUAAGCAAAACAACUUAAGAAGGGAACCAUGAAGAGAAGCUUGGAGUGGGCAAGGGAGAGGCUAAUAAAGCAGCAGAGGAGACCUGAUUCAUCAAGUAUCAAUUAAUUUAGGUGAUUCUCAACUGACACUUCAAUCUGACACUCUUGUUAAUGUUUGACGUCAGGCAAAACAUCUUCAGCCACCGUAGGACGGAGAGCCGCUGGUUGGCAUUUGACUGCAGUGUCUGUCUGGGUGUACCAGGAAAGGACGUUAGUAGUUAUAUAUCAAAGAUAUCAAAGCUUCUUACCGUCUCCACUGCAGCUUAGUCGUUAUCGAUAAAAUAAACUGGAACAAUGGAUUGUACGACAUUAUGUACAACUCCAGUUUGCCUAUUGCCCCAACUAAUGUCAAUUAGACAUUUUUACAUACGUCAAGAGUGCAUUUUCUUUUAUAGCUUUGCGUUCAACACCAUCCUUACCCACAAACUGGUUAGCAGGCUCUGGGUGUAAAUCCUGUAAUAAAUUAGAUUUUUUACAUUAUAAGAAUGUGUAUCCCCAGAAUGGACCUGACACUACCAUGGUACACAUGAGUACAUGAAGGAGCUGUGAGACUUGACAAUAGUGAUAGGACAAGUUUCAGCAUAAGCAAAACAAAGUAGAUGGUGAUACUUGACCAUUCUCCCAUCUACUGUACAUUGACAUGGAGAUGAUCAGCAGCUGCAAGUUCCUGGGCACCCUGAUAUCCUUUUCUGCCCUCAGUUACUUCACUCAAAGUCCCACUUGUGCUUCUCCACUAACCUCAAACUUGCUGCACCACGACCUAUGUACCAACUACAGUGUCUUGUAUUGCCAUAACACAUGUAAAGGAAAUGUCCAUAUUUACUGUAAGAUUUACUUAUGGUAACAUUGCACAUAUUGUAGUCCCUUGACAUACAUGACUUAACUACUUUGCAUAAUGCUCAGUUUACCCACUAAAAUCAUAAAUGUAUUUAAAUAUUAAAGCUGCAUUAUGUAAUACUGUG